GGGUAUAGCUCAGUGGUAGAGGGCAUGCCUAGCAUGCACGAAGUCCUAGGUUCAAUCCCCAGUACCACCA
rnacentral:tRNA from 1 species